rnacentral:rRNA from 1 species
GACGAACGCUGGCGGCGUGCUUAACACAUGCAAGUCGUACGGUAAGGCCCUUUCGGGGGUACACGAGUGGCGCACGGGUGAGUAACACGUGAGUAACCUGCCCACAACUUUGGGAUAACGCUAGGAAACUGGUGCUAAUACUGGAUAUGUGCUCCUGCUGCAUGGUGGGGGUUGGAAAGCUCCGGCGGUUGUGGAUGGACUCGCGGCCUAUCAGCUUGUUGGUGGGGUAGUGGCCUACCAAGGCGGCGACGGGUAGCCGGCCUGAGGGGGUGACCGGCCACAUUGGGACUGAGAUACGGCCCAGACUCCUACGGGAGGCAGCGGUGGGGAAUAUUGCACAAUGGGCGCAAGCCUGAUGCAGCAACGCCGCGUGCGGGAUAACGGCCUUCGGGUUGUAAACCGCUUUCAGCAGGGACGAAGCUUUUUGUGACGGUACCUGCAGAAGAAGCACCGGCUAACUACGUG